CCAAGAUUAUUAGGCUAUUAUUAUUUUUAUUCUAUAGUUAAAGUAGAUGAAGAAGACUCUUGAAUUUUGAUAGGAUAUGGAAGGAAUCGAUAAGAACUCGGAGAGUUAUGUACUAAUUUUGUACUUAUUUUUUCAUCUAUAUAUGUAUCAGUCUUAUAAGAAUAAUGUCUACCUUGUAUUUUUUCUUAAAUCUGUUUCUUUUUGUCUUUUUUUUUCUCUAUUAGACUUCUUAAUUUAGUUUUCUAUGAAUGUUUUAUUGUCGUAAGUCUUUAUACUUAUUUUGUAAUUGUUGCAUUUUAUUGUUCAUUACAAUUUACAUAUAUAUAUUUUCAUGAAAUUUUAGUCAUUCUAACGUAUCUAUAAAAAUUCACAUGAAACACACGUGCGAAGCACGUGCUCAGAAACUAGU
rnacentral:lncRNA from 1 species